GCUAAAGUAGUGUAACCUUAUAAAUUAAUAAUAAUAUAAACAAUUAAAUAAGUUUAAACAAAUAAUAAGUACAGAAGUGGAAGAUAAAAUUAAUGAAAGUAACUUUUAACAACUGUACCUUGUGCAUUAUGGUUUUACAAGAAAAUAAUUAAAAACACAAAUCCCGAAUUCUAAAUGAGAUGUUAAACUGCUGUUACGAACCCAUUAAUAACUGUAUAAAAAGUUUUAAAAGACAGAUUUAACAGAGGCUACAUACCAUCCGCAUAAGAAUAUAGCUGGUUUUCAACAAACAUUAUACAUUAAAGCAUAUAACUAAGUUAUAGUGUUAUAUUAUUGAGGAUAAGCCCAAUAAUACAUAGCAAUAUUAAUCAAUAAACCAAUAUUCUCCUAUAGGCCUAAAAUCAGCCAACUAAAAUACUUCACCGUAAUAUCUGAUGACAAAAUUAAUAAAACGCCCAUGCUAAAGAAAGUUGAAAUAACGGAUAAAUCACCUGCUCCGCCCAUAAUAUGUAAAAAUAAGUAUUAUAAACCCAUAUAAAUAACAACCAAGUUAUUAACAACAUAUAAAACACAAUAAUUAAUUAAGGAACUCGGCAAACCAUUAUUUCGACUGUUUAACAAAAACAUUGCCUCAUGUACACACAUAUGAGGUAAUACCUGCCCAGUGACAUACGUUCAACGGCCGCGGUAUCCUAACCGUGCAAAGGUAGCAUAAUCACUUGCCUAUUAAUUGUAGGCUAGAAUGAAUGGGUUAACGAAAUAAAGACUGUCUCAAUUAAUUACCUAAAAAUUACUAUCUAUAUGAAGAAGGGUAGAUAAUCUCGAAGGACAAGAAGACCCUAUAGAGCUUAAUUUUAAUUAUAGAACUACACUAUAAAAAUAUUCGGUUGGGGCGACCCAGGGCUAAUCAAUCACCCACUACAUAAAAGAUAAAUUAAUCAAGUAAUUGACCCCCAAAAGAUCAUAAGAACAAGCUACCUUAGGGAUAACAGGCUAAUCCCACUCAAGAGUCCUUAUCAACAGUGGGGUUUGGCACCUCGAUGUUGGCUUAGGGUAUCUAUAUAGCGCAAAAGUUAUAUAAAGAUGGUUUGUUCAACCAAUAACUUCCCUACAUGAGCUGAGUUCAGACCGGCGUAAGCCAGGUUAGCUUCUAUCCUCGACCUAUGCAACCUGCUCCUAGUACGAAAGGACCUGAGCAGAAUAAUAAAUUAUAUAGAAGAAUACAUAUAACUAAAUAUAAAUACUACCAAACCAUAGACUAUG
rnacentral:rRNA from 1 species